CUAUGAAAGUCCCGUGCAGCGGCUAUGCAGAUGGCGAGCUUGCUCGCGCAGAUGCAUAGACAUUGCACGGGCUAGACCGUAUGAGUAAGUAGGGCGCAGCCCGGAUUACGAAUACGGUCGGCAGCUAUGGAGUGCCGCAGGCACGGAAUAGCUGACUUUCAUAG
rnacentral:sRNA from 1 species